rnacentral:rRNA from 1 species
AGAGUUUGAUCCUGGCUCAGGAUGAACGCUAGCGGCAGGCCUAACACAUGCAAGUCGAGGGGCAUCACGAGGUAGCAAUACUUUGGUGGCGACCGGCGCACGGGUGCGUAACGCGUAUGUAACCUACCUAUAACAGGGGCAUAACACUGAGAAAUUGGUACUAAUUCCCCAUAAUAUUCGGAGAGGCAUCUCUCCGGGUUGAAAACUCCGGUGGUUAUAGAUGGACAUGCGUUGUAUUAGCUAGUUGGUGAGGUAACGGCUCACCAAGGCAACGAUACAUAGGGGGACUGAGAGGUUAACCCCCCACAUUGGUACUGAGACACGGACCAAACUCCUACGGGAGGCAGCAGUGAGGAAUAUUGGUCAAUGGACGCAAGUCUGAACCAGCCAUGCCGCGUGCAGGAAGACGGCUCUAUGAGUUGUAAACUGCUUUUGUACGAGGGUAAACUCACCUACGUGUAGGUGACUGAAAGUAUCGUACGAAUAAGGAUCGGCUAACUCCGUGCCAGCAGCCGCGGUAAUACGGAGGAUCCAAGCGUUAUCCGGAUUUAUUGGGUUUAAAGGGUGCGUAGGCGGUUUGAUAAGUUAGAGGUGAAAUCCCGGGGCUUAACUCCGGAACUGCCUCUAAUACUGUUAGACUAGAGAGUAGUUGCGGUAGGCGGAAUGUAUGGUGUAGCGGUGAAAUGCUUAGAGAUCAUACAGAACACCGAUUGCGAAGGCAGCUUACCAAACUAUAUCUGACGUUGAGGCACGAAAGCGUGGGGAGCAAACAGGAUUAGAUACCCUGGUAGUCCACGCAGUAAACGAUGAUAACUCGCUGUCGGCGAUACACAGUCGGCGGCUAAGCGAAAGCGAUAAGUUAUCCACCUGGGGAGUACGUUCGCAAGAAUGAAACUCAAAGGAAUUGACGGGGGCCCGCACAAGCGGAGGAACAUGUG